rnacentral:rRNA from 1 species
UAACGGGACUGCCCGCGAAAGCGGGAGGAAGGAGGGGACGACGUCUGGUCAGCAUGGCCCUUACGGCCUGGGCGACACACGUGCUACAAUGCCCACUACAAAGCGAGGCCACCCGGCAACGGGGAGCUAAUCGCAAAAGGUGGGCCCAGUUCGGAUUGGGGUCUGCAACCCGACCCCAUGAAGCCGGAAUCGCUAGUAAUCGCGGAUCAGCCAUGCCGCGGUGAAUUACCGUUCCCGGGCCUU